rfam:Hordeum vulgare subsp. vulgare, WGS project CAJW01000000 data, contig: morex_contig_46925
CAUGUACUCCCUCCGUCCCAAAAAUUUUGUCUUAGAUUUGUCUAGAAAUGGAUGCAUCUAAAUACUAAAACAAGACUAGAUAUAUUCAUAUCUAGACAAAUCUAAAACAAAAAAUUUGGGAUGGAGGAAGUAGUAU